rnacentral:rRNA from 1 species
UACGUAGGUGGCAAGCGUUAUCCGGAUUUACUGGGUGUAAAGGGAGCGUAGACGGUUACGCAAGUCUGGAGUGAAAGGCGGGGGCCCAACCCCCGGACUGCUUUGGAAACUGUAUAACUGGAGUGCAGGAGAGGUAAGUGGAAUUCCUAGUGUAGCGGUGGAAUGCGUAGAUAUUAGGAGGAACAUCAGUGGCGAAGGCGACUUUCUGGACUGUAACUGACGCUGAGGCACGAAAGUGUGGGGAGCAAACAGG